GAUGAACGCUGGCGGCGUGCUUAACACAUGCAAGUCGAACGAUGAAGCCCAGCUUGCUGGGUGGAUUAGUGGCGAACGGGUGAGUAACACGUGAGUAACCUGCCCUUGACUCUGGGAUAAGCGCUGGAAACGGCGUCUAAUACCGGAUACGAGCUUCCACCGCAUGGUGAGUUGCUGGAAAGAAUUUCGGUCAAGGAUGGACUCGCGGCCUAUCAGGUAGUUGGUGAGGUAACGGCUCACCAAGCCGACGACGGGUAGCCGGCCUGAGAGGGUGACCGGCCACACGGGGACGGAGACGCGGCCCAGACUCCUACGGGAGGCAGCAGUGGGGAAUAUUGCACAAUGGGCGCAAGCCUGAUGCAGCAACGCCGCGGGGGGGAAGAAGGCCUGCGGGUCGUAAACCUCUUUUAGCAGGGAAGAAGCGAAAGUGACGGUACCUGAAGAAAAAGCCCCGGCUAACUACGUG
rnacentral:rRNA from 1 species